rnacentral:rRNA from 1 species
UACAGAGGUGGCAAGCGUUGUUCGGAAUUACUGGGCGUAAAGGGCGCGUAGGCGGCCUGCUAAGUCGAACGUGAAAUCCCCGGGCUCAACCCGGGAACUGCGUCCGAUACUGGUUGGCUUGAAUCCGGGAGAGGGAUGCGGAAUUCCAGGUGUAGCGGUGAAAUGCGCAGAUAUCAGGAGGAACACCAGCGGCGAAGGCGGCGCUCUGGGCCGGUACUGACACUGAGGAGCGAAAGCGUGGGUAGCAAACAGG